rnacentral:rRNA from 1 species
UACAGAGGGCGCGAGCGUUGUCCGGAAUCACUGGGCGUAAAGGGCGCGUAGGUGGCCACUAUAAGGCCGCGGUGAAAGUUCGGGGCUCAACCCUGAAUCUGCCGCGGCGACUGUAGGGCUAGGGCACCGUAGAGGCAGAUGGAAUUCCGGGUGUAGCGGUGGAAUGCGUAGAGAUCCGGAAGAACACCCGUGGCGAAGGCGGCUCACUGGGCUGACCUUGACGCUGAGGCGCGAAGGCGUGGGGAGCGAACGGG